UGGGUGCUGCCAACCAGCCUCUUUGUUCCUUUGAGAACUCUCCCAGUGCUCCUGAGUGGUGAGAAUGUGAUUCCUUCAUGUCUGCUCUACUUUCAUCAUUAAUCUCUGGAUAUAUUUACUGUUGACUCAGCCUUAUAUUUAUCUUAUUAAACAUGGAGACCUAUUUCUAAAUUUAGACUUUCCCUCCAGCUGUUUUUCUCCCUUAGAAACUCCUUUCUUCUUUUUAAAUCCUGGCAAGACCUCUCAAUCACUCUUCUCUCUGGCUUCACACUGAGAAUUUCCUACUGUUGCACUGCAACCAAGUUUAUUGUUUGCACAGCAGCAGCAGCAGAUGUGCAUGUCAGCAACCACGACCUCCAGAACAGCAGAAAAUUGUAUAGAAUUCAAGGUGCCUUAAAGAAACAUAAACCAGUGAAGACAGCCAAGUGCAGGAAGCUGCUGCAGCUCCUGGAGAAAGCAAAGUUUACCCUCCCAAAGGUGCGCUGUAAGCACGAGGUCACAGUGGAUGUUGGACCUUCUGCUGCACUUUUCCUGUACUGUGUGAAACAUAAACAGGCCCCCAGAGAGGGAUCAACAGAAAGAUGGUUUUUUAUUGAGGAGCAUGAAGAUGAGUGGGGUUGAUGCAUCACCCGUUUCUCGGUCUCCCCCCGGGUCUGGACUGUGAGUCACAUGGUGUGACAGCAGCAAGUCAAUUAGCGGGGUAAUUAACAAAACCAUUGGUGCAGAGCGGCGCUCACCCUGCCAGUGUCAGGAGUGUCCUUGGAAGGGUGAGAUGGACAAUAAAGCAAAAGCAGUCUUCAUUCUAGACAGCUGGGAACUUGUCCACCUUUAGCCUGAGUUACCCAGCUGGACUUUGCACAUGGUACAAUCCCAAUUUUCCAUCAGCUCUGCAGGAGGACGUUCAGAGCAGGGAGCUGCUGCCCCAGGAGUCCCUGGAACUCUGGGCAAGAUGUACCAGCUCCAUUUCUCCAAGAUCCCGAGGAUGUAUAAACUGCUCUGAUGGCUUCCUCAAACUAGUUACAACUAGUCUUUCACGAGAGAAAAAAACAGGCCUCAAUAAAUCUAGUGUUUGGGCAGAAAAUAACUUCCCUCUUAUUCAAGUUGUGCCCUGGCUGAUUCCAGGACUGGUCUGUGCUUGUGCUAAAUGCACUGAGAGCUAAUAAAAACUGCCUUGGAUUAGAAA